rnacentral:misc_RNA from 1 species
CCUCUUCCGUUGCUCAAAGCUCAAUCUUUCUUCUUUUGAACUGAAUCUCUCCGUCUUCAGAUCCCAUCAUAAUUUUCCAGGAAAAACAUCAGAGUUUUCUCGAGAAAUUCCACGUCUUUCUCUCAAACCGCUCCAUAUUUUCCAUGGCGAAUGCCUGGAAAAAAGAGAACAAACGCCCAAAACUUCUCUCGCCCAAGCCCCUUCUCCUUCUCCUCCUUACCCUCUCUCUUGUGUUCUUCUUAUUCUUCUUCUUCUCUCGCUCACCAUCAAAUCUUAGCCCCUCUCUCUCUGUCUCAAAAAUAAUAUCGCAAACACAAGCAUCUGUUUAUCCAAUCCCUCCCUUCGAUUGCUUAAAAUCCCCGCAAGCCCACCCAGUAGUUGCCAACAUAGUAGAGAACCUCAAGUACCCAUUUUUAUACUCUCUCUCCGAUUUUGGAUCCUUGCCCGAUAAACCUCACAAGAACAUUGUGAGGUUGUUAAAAGGAAAGCCCUUUAGGAAGCCGGACAUCUCCGCGACGAUUCAGGAGCUGUUGGAAGGGACAAAGGGGAGAGAUGGGUUGGUGGUGGAUGUGGGCGCUAAUGUAGGAAUGGCUAGUUUUGCGGCUGCCGUUAUGGGAUAUAGAGUGUUAGCUUUUGAGCCAGUUAUUGAGAAUUUGCAGAGGAUUUGUGAUGGGAUUUGGUUUAAUCGAGUUGGGGACUUGGUUACUGUUUUUGAAGCUGCUGUGUCUGAUCGGAUUGGGAAUAUCACUUUUUAUAAGCUGGUUGGCCGGCUUGACAAUAGUGCGGUGUCAGCCACUGGUGCAAAGCUGGCAUUCAAGUCCAAUGAAGAAAUAGCAGUUCAAGUAAGGACCAUUCCUCUUGAUGAACUGAUUCCAGAGUCAGAGCCUGUGCUUCUACUCAAAAUUGAUGUUCAGGGAUGGGAAUAUCAUGUAUUAAAAGGAGCCUCAAAGUUACUGUCAAGAAAGAAAGGUGAAGCUCCAUACCUAAUCUAUGAGGAAGAUGAGCGGUUGCUGCAAGCCAGCAACAGCAGUGCUAAAGAAAUUCGUGAUUUCCUCCAAACUGUGGGUUAUCAUCAUUGCACCCAGCAUGGUACAGAUGCUCACUGCUCUAAAGAUUAAUUAAGGUGAUGAGCUUUCCCCUAGGAGACUGAACCUAACAGCAAGACUUUGCUUCCACUUUUAACUUUUUUGGGCAAUGAUCGAGGAAAUUUGGCUGCUUUGCUUCAAUACAUAUUAUUUCAUUCUUCUUGUUUCAGAGAAAGAUAUGUAAGGUAUAAUGAGCCAAUGAUACCACUGCUUCCAGAAUUCAUAUAAUCUUAGUUAAUGGUGAUUGGAUCUUAGCUUUUGCUGCUGGUGCAACUGGUGACGGAAAAUUCAAUUAAAAGCAAGCCAUUCCAUAUGUGCUGCUUGUUGAGCUCACACUCUGGACGAAAAAAACGUUAGUCGGCUUGAUAGCGUGCUGUUGUCGAGUCUAAUUGAGAAUUCAAGCCAUCUCAACAAGAAUACCAUACUUUCUAAGGUUUUUUCCUUUUUCCCCUUUUAAUAGCAAUUAGUUUGUAGAAUAUACAGAAUUGCACUGACUAAAUCUGCUCCUGAAUUCCAUAAUCUAUAAACAUAUAUAAGAUAUGAAUUCGUACAGUAUAUGAGAUGAACAAUAUCUACACUAUUCAGCUUCAAUCAGUAGAAGCAACAUGUUUUACCCUGCAGGAAAAUCAACACACGAGAAACAGAACUUGCAUCAGUCCAUUUAUAUUCUAAACAAAUCCUUUUUAUAACAUACCUUUAAAUAAAAAUAAUACCAGAAGCUUCAACGAAUAUAUCCUAUAAAAAAGUCAAUACUGCUUUUGAGGAUUGCCAUACCUCAUCGAAGCACUGAAUAUCAAAUGGAUUGCUGGAGAGUUAUGACUACGAAGCUCAACCUUUUAGGAUUGUUUUGGACCACUAUUUUUAGAGGGGCCAGCUCUCUCCACCAUUACAUCAUAAAGUUGCUUACCAUUCUAUUCAGAAGAAGAAAAACAGAAAGAAUUUUAGUGAAGGAAAUAGCUUAACAAAGAAAAACCCAAGUCAUAAGUCACAGAUAUUCAUUCUAAAAAUAUUUAUUUUUUUUUCCCUUUUAUUCUAUUUUCUUUAAUACAAAGCACCCCACAAAUACAUUUGCAUGAUUAGGCUUCCUCCCCACAAGCCCUAAAGCUCAGCUUCCUAGGUUUGUAUUUUGAUGAUAUACUUACAAAAAUUACUGGGAAGAAGUGCACUUGUCCUUCAGGUUUUGUUUGAGUCUCUUUAAAGUACACCAGAAUAGGGAAAUUUGGCCACCAUAGUUCCCAAUUCACAAAUGUUGAAAAUCUGUAAUAAAAAUAAAUAGGUCAGUGGCUAUUCAUUGAAUUUGGAUGGAGCAAAGAAAGUACUUACUUCCAACGAUUUUUUCCACCUACGAACACAUUUUCGCCUGAUUCCUCAAGCUGGUCUCCAAUUUUGACCUCCUAGGACGGCAAACAUCAUAUGCAUAUGAGCCAAAAUGAAGUUUGUUGGAUCAAUAAUAAACAGGAACAGAUGCAAUUUGCAUGUCAUUCUAUCUACCAGUCCAAAUUAUGACUCCAUAGGGACAAGCACUCGACUGUGGGGCGAGCCAAAAGUACAGUGAGAAUGAGAUCUAUUAACCUAGAAAGCGAAAUGAAGUGAACUCCAAGAUAAAUGUUGUUCAAAAUCUCAACUAGAUCCUGAUUUCAUUCCUGGUAGAAGACCAUACGAACUAAACUGACAGACAAAUAUAUUUCUGGGAAAUACUAGAAGAAAACACUAAUCAUUUUUCAGUUCAAUAUUUGAGCUAGUUUACUCAAUCAGUUUGCAAAUCAAGUACAGCUGGGAGAAGAGAUUCCAGUAUUGCUUAAUUCCUUCAAAAACUGUCAAUUACAAUCACAAAAUCGAGUGCACUGGAUCUCAGUUUAACACAUUAAUUUGCUAGAAAAAGAUUCCAGAUAUCACAGCAAAUCAAUUUUCUGAACAUCUUUGAUUGGUAACAACAGUGGCAUUGAUAUGCACUCCACAUGCAAAUCUAAGCAUGCAUAUUUCCUUUAUUUUAUAGUGAUCCAACCAAAUUAAAGUCACUGCAAAGAUCCAGUCAAAGCCAAUUGAGUUAUAUAAUCUAAGAACAGUUCAGGUAGCAGAACCUACCUAACAAACUGAGUCGUCAAAAAGUUAAGUUUUUCAAGUAAAAGAUCAUUCUAACAUUUAAACAAAUGCACAAGUCUGAGGAAAAAAGCUGAAAAAUUAAUAUAUCAAUGAUAAGUAGAUUUUAUCUUUCUGUCUUGUAGAUCCUACUUCCUAGAGAGUGAACA